rnacentral:rRNA from 1 species
AAUGGCCGCGGUAUUUUGACCGUGCUAAGGUAGCAUAAUCAUUAGUUUCUUAAUUAGAAGCUGGUAUGAAGGGUUUGAUGAAAAAAAUGCUGUCUCUAUUUAAAUUAUAUAAAAUUUUAUUUUUUAGUAAAAAAGCUGAGAUUUAUUUGAAAGACGAGAAGACCCUAUAGAGUUUAAUAAUUAUUAAUUAUAUUAUUUAUUAGAAUUUUAUAUUAUUAAAAUUUUAUAUUAUUUGAUUGGGGUGAUUGAAAAAAUUAAUUAACUUUUUUUUUGUUUUUUACAUAUUUAUAUGAAAAUUUGAUCCAUUAUUUAUGAUUAUAAGAUAAAAUUACCUUAGGGAUAACAGCGUAAUAUUUUCAGAGAGUUCUUAUCGAAGAAAAAGAUUGCGACCUCGAUGUUGGAUUAAAAUUAACUUUUGGUGUAGAAGCUAAAUAAGUUAGGUCUGUUCGACCUUUAAAAUUUUACAUGAUCUGA